GAGCUUCAAAGGGUUGCCAGCACAUAUACUAAAAUCAGAAUGAUACAGAGAAGAUUAGCAUGGCCCCUGGGCAAGGAUUCAUGAAGUGGUCCAUAAAAAAAAAAAAAAAAA